rnacentral:rRNA from 1 species
GAUGAACGCUGGCGGCAGGCUUAACACAUGCAAGUCGAGCGAAGACUUCGGUCUUAGCGGCGGACGGGUGAGUAACGCGUGGGAACGUGCCCUUCUCUACGGAACAGUCCUGGGAAACUGGGUUUAAUACCGUAUACGCCCUUUUGGGGAAAGAAUUUCGGUGAGGGAUUAGCCCGCGUUGGAUUAGGUAGUUGGUGGGGUAAUGGCCUACCAAGCCGACGAUCCAUAGCUGGUUUGAGAGGAUGAUCAGCCACACUGGGACUGAGACACGGCCCAGACUCCUACGGGAGGCAGCAGUGGGGAAUCUUAGACAAUGGGGGCAACCCUGAUCUAGCCAUGCCGCGUGAGUGAUGAAGGCCUUAGGGUUGUAAAGCUCUUUCAGCUGGGAAGAUAAUGACGGUACCAGCAGAAGAAGCCCCGGCUAACUCCGUGCCAGCAGCCGCGUA